GGCGCCCUGCCCCAACCGCCCCCUGCGCUAUCCUCCAGCUGGCCCGCGCUGGGGCCCCGGAGGCGCAGCGUCUGGUACAUUUACAGUGAUUACAUCAUCAAGGAGAAGACAGUCUUACUGCAGAAGAAGGACAGUGAGGGGUUCGGGUUCGUGCUCCGGGGGGCCAAGGCGCAGACCCCCAUCGAGGAAUUCACCCCCACCCCGGCCUUCCCGGCGCUGCAGUACCUCGAGUCUGUGGACGAGGGUGGCGUGGCAUGGCGGGCUGGACUAC
rnacentral:lncRNA from 1 species